GCGCUCUGUUUUUAUUGAUAUUUAGGCCGCCUUCUAAGCGGGAUGUUGCAGGUUCGAGUCCUGCUGGGCGCGCCA
rnacentral:tRNA from 1 species